GGGAGCGUGGGGGCAGGAGCGGCGGGAGUGCGGGGGGUGCGAGCGUGGUGCGGAAUGACCGGGCGGAAAGGGGGGGGAGGGGGGGCCGCAAGUCGGGGGUGAAAGCUGGACGCUUAACGGCGAGUGGGCCAUCGAAACUGCGGGGCUGGAGCACUGUAGGGGCAGAUGGAAUUCCGGGUGUAGCGGUGGAAUGCGUAGAGAUCCGGAAGAACACCGGUGGCGAAGGCGGUCUGCUGGGCAGUUGCUGACACUGAUGCGCGACAGCGUGGGGAGCAAACAGGAUUAGAUACCCCAGUAGUC
rnacentral:rRNA from 1 species